UACGUAGGGUGCGAGCGUUAAUCGGAAUUACUGGGCGUAAAGCGUGCGCAGGCGGUUGGUUAAGUCUGAUGUGAAAGCCCCGGGCUCAACCUGGGAAUGGCAUUGGAAACUGGCCAGCUGGAGUGCGGCAGAGGGGGAUGGAAUUCCGCGUGUAGCAGUGAAAUGCGUAGAUAUGCGGAGGAACACCGAUGGCGAAGGCAAUCCCCUGGGCCUGCACUGACGCUCAUGCACGAAAGCGUGGGGAGCAAACAGG
rnacentral:rRNA from 1 species